rnacentral:lncRNA from 1 species
UAUGCUUCAAAGUAAUAUACACAUUUCUUAAUAUUUCUUGCCAUAUUUGUGUUUGCCAAUUCGGCUGGCUAUUCAGUCUUUCCUGUUCAAAGGCUUCUGGCAUAUUCUGGCCUAAUAACUAAUUUUUCUUUCAUUCUGAAGAUAUUUUUAAUCUCCUUAUGUGUUUCUUAACCUUUGGUUUUGUACAUGUAUGUAGAAUUAAUUUUUGGUCUAUUCAUGGUGUUUAAUUAAGAGUAUAAAUGUUCUUUCAAAAUUGGAAUUUUUCAUGAUCUGGUUUUGCUUCUGGUUUAAAUAUUGAAAACUAAUUCUAUAUAUACUUUUAAAAAACAGGCCGAGAUUAAAGCAAUAUAUGGUGAGCUAGAGGAAAAACAAAAAGAGAGACUGAAGAAGAAAGAAGAAGAUAUGAAGAUGAUGGAAGAGAUUGAGAGAUCAGUAACUGAUCUAGAAACAAAAUUUAGAAGAAAUAAAAAUAUAUUUAAAGAAAACCAUGAGAAACUAUUGUAUUUGGAUCAGAGGAUACAAGAGCUAGACCAACAGCAGAAGCAAACAGAACAACAACUGGAGCAAAGAAGCACUAUUGUGCAGCAGCAAUUAAAUGAUAUACAGGGAAAAUAUUCAGUUCUUUCCAGUCAAAUUGCUGAAAACUCUCACACUACUGAAAAUUUUAAAAUUGAACUUAGAGAAUUAAAUGCAUUAUGGAACAUAAAGGAAAUGCAGAUGGAAAAUACAGAAAAAUCUUUCAUUGAUUUGGGGAAAAAUUUAAGUGCUGUGAUGUUUAAGCGGCAAAAUGUUCAGAUGGCAUUUAAUCAUCUCCAAGGUGAGCUAGCAGAAUAUGAAAAAAGAUUAAAGCAGGAAGAAAAAACAUAUGGAGAGUUACUACAGACAAGAAAGAAAAAUUUGGAAGAUUUGGAAAUAAAGCUGUUUAUAAACUGUCAAGAGCUACUCCCUAAUAGGACCCCCAUCUGGAUCUCAGAUGCUGCAGUUGAUACCAGGCAGAUGGGAGCCAGAGUCUGUGUGGAUGUAACUGAGGAACUGGAGUCUUUUGAAAUAGAAGUGUGAAAUAGACUGUAGGUAUAACAACAAAAUCUUCGGAGAAAUCAGAUGCAGUAUAAUUUGCUGAGUUCUUUUGUGCAUUAUUCCCAUAUUUAUACUUUUUUCCUAAAAACAAAAAAAUGCUUAAUUCCUCAUGUUUAUUUUUUCUUUGUUUUUAUGAGAAAAUGGCCAUAUUAAAAUAUUUGUCGUUUUAUUGGGAAGUCAUUCUUAGGUUAAUAGUUUUGCAUUUGUAGGUGUGUUAAAAAUAAAUACUAAAUUUUGGUCUUGUAUUCUUUACUU